rnacentral:rRNA from 1 species
CCUACGGGUGGCAGCAGUGGGGAAUAUUGGGCAAUGGGCGCAAGCCUGACCCAGCAACGCCGCGUGAAGGAAGAAGGCUUUCGGGUUGUAAACUUCUUUUCUCAGGGACGAAGAAAGUGACGGUACCUGAGGAAUAAGCCACGGCUAACUACGUGCCAGCAGCCGCGGUAAUACGUAGGUGGCAAGCGUUAUCCGGAUUUAUUGGGUGUAAAGGGCGUGUAGGCGGGAGCGCAAGUCAGAUGUGAAAACUCAGGGCUCAACCCUGAGCCUGCAUUUGAAACUGUGUUUCUUGAGUGCUGGAGAGGCAAUCGGAAUUCCGUGUGUAGCGGUGAAAUGCGUAGAUAUACGGAGGAACACCAGUGGCGAAGGCGGUCUGCUGGACAGCAACUGACGGUGAGGCGCGAAAGCGUGGGGAGCAAACAGGAUUAGAUACCCGGGUAGUC